rnacentral:tRNA from 1 species
GCAUUAGUAGUUCAGUGGUAGAACUCUCGCCUUCCAAGUGGGAGAUCCAGGUGCA